GGUAAUGUGGUUUAGUGGUAGAAUGCUUGCAUAGCAUGCAUGAAGCCUUGGGUUUGAUUCCUCAGUACCA
rnacentral:tRNA from 1 species